GCCAGCCCGCUCAGAAACUCAAAGGAAUUGACGGGGCCCGCACAAGCGGUGGAGUAUGUGGUUUAAUUCGAUGCAACGCGAAGAACCUUACCUGGUCUUGACAUCCCGGAGACCCUUAGGAAACUAGGGGGUGCUUCCAUCUGGAAGAAUCUGGAGACAGGUGCUGCAUGGCUGUCGUCAGCUCGUGUCGUGAGAUGUUGGGUUAAGUCCCGCAACGAGCGCAACCCUUGCCUUUAGUUGCCAGCAGUUCGGCUGGGCACUCUAAAGGGACUGCCGGUGUUAAACCGGAGGAAGGUGGGGAUGACGUCAAGUCCUCAUGGCCUUUAUGACCAGGGCUACACACGUACUACAAUGGCCGAUACAAAGGGCAGCGACACUGCGAGGUGAAGCCAAUCCCGUAAAAUCGGUCUCAGUCCGGAUUGGGGUCUGCAACUCGACUCCAUGAAGUUGGAAUCGCUAGUAAUCGUGGAUCAGCAUGCCACGGUGAAUACGUUCCCGGGCCUU
rnacentral:rRNA from 1 species